AACGAACGCUGGCGGCAUGCCUAACACAUGCAAGUCGAACGAGACCUUCGGGUCUAGUGGCGCACGGGUGCGUAACGCGUGGGAACCUGCCCUUAGGUUCGGAAUAACUCCCCGAAAGGGGUGCUAAUACCGGAUAAUGUCUUCGGACCAAAGACUUAUCGCCUUUGGAUGGGCCCGCGUUGGAUUAGCUAGUUGGUAGGGUAAAAGCCUACCAAGGCGACGAUCCAUAGCUGGUCUGAGAGGAUGAUCAGCCACACUGGGACUGAGACACGGCCCAGACUCCUACGGGAGGCAGCAGUGGGGAAUAUUGGACAAUGGGCGAAAGCCUGAUCCAGCAAUGCCGCGUGAGUGAUGAAGGCCUUAGGGUUGUAAAGCUCUUUUACCCGGGAUGUUAAUGACAGUACCGGGAGAAUAAGCUCCGGCUAACUCCGUG
rnacentral:rRNA from 1 species